AACGAACGCUGGCGGCAUGCCUAACACAUGCAAGUCGAACGAGACCUUCGGGUCUAGUGGCGCACGGGUGCGUAACGCGUGGGAAUCUGCCCCUCGGUUCGGAACAACAGUUAGAAAUGACUGCUAAUACCGGAUGAUGACGUAAGUCCAAAGAUUUAUCGCCGAGGGAUGAGCCCGCGUAGGAUUAGCUAGUUGGUGAGGUAAAGGCUCACCAAGGCGACGAUCCUUAGCUGGUCUGAGAGGAUGAUCAGCCACACUGGGACUGAGACACGGCCCAGACUCCUACGGGAGGCAGCAGUGGGGAAUAUUGGACAAUGGGCGAAAGCCUGAUCCAGCAAUGCCGCGUGAGUGAUGAAGGCCUUAGGGUUGUAAAGCUCUUUUACCCGGGAUGAUAAUGACAGUACCGGGAGAAUAAGCUCCGGCUAACUACGUGCCAGCCGCCGCGGUAACAC
rnacentral:rRNA from 1 species